UUAACUAAAUAUUGGAGCAAUAUUCCGGAUACGGUGAACUUCAUGAAUUAGAGACCAAGUUUUAGGUGCACCAUGAUUAGAGAAUCAUUGGACAAGAGUUGUCCACUCAUCGGUUGACCCAUCAUCAAUAACUGUUAGGUGAGGUGAUGAGCCAGUUGGUGAGACCGCACCACCCACUAGAAAUCACUGAUCACGGAGAUUUUCACAUCUCU
rnacentral:lncRNA from 1 species